rnacentral:rRNA from 1 species
CCUGGCGGCCUUAGCGCGGUGGUCCCACCUGACCCCAUGCCGAACUCAGAAGUGAAACGCCGUAGCGCCGAUGGUAGUGUGGGGGCAUUAAUUCGUCUGUAAAACGUCGACGGGA